ACCUCCUUUUCAGGGAGACCUACUUCUGGGGAAGUGCCAAUCCCAACAAAAACAAGCACUCACAGAAGUCAUCCCAGGUCGGAGCUAGGAAAGAGAAAAAGAGACUUUCAAACGUAAACUAGGUUGGGAAUGGGCUAUUAGCUCAGGUGGUUAGAGCGCCCCCCUGAUAAGGGUGAGGUCCCUGGUUCAAGUCCAGGAUGGCCCACCUAAAAUUAGUGUGGGGGUAUAGCUCAGUUGGUAGAGCGCUGCCUUUGCAAGGCAGAUGUCAGCGGUUCGAGUCCGCUUACCUCCACUAAAACAAAAAACAAUCCAGCACUACGUCUAAGAAAAAGAGUAAAUGUUGGGAAUGUAACCAGCCAGAACCUUGAAAACUGCAUAA
rnacentral:tRNA from 1 species